rnacentral:rRNA from 1 species
ACACAUGCAAGUCGCACGCAGUUAAGGGGGCAACUCCUUGAUUGAGUGGCGCACGGGUGAGUAACACGUAGGUAACCUGCCCUUCACUGGGGAAUAACCUGUCGAAAGACGGGCUAAUUCCGCAUACGUCCAAGACUGCUCCGGCAGAUUUGGGGAAAGGCGGCCCGCAAGGGCUGUCGGUGAUGGAUGGGCCUGCGUACCAUUAGCUAGUUGGUAGGGUAAUGGCCUACCAAGGCUACGAUGGUUAGCUGGUCUGAGAGGAUGAUCAGCCACACUGGAACUGACACACGGUCCUGACUCCUACGGGAGGCAGCAGUGGGGAAUAUUGCGCAAUGGGCGAAAGCCUGACGCAGCAACGCCGCGUGAGGGAUGAAGGUUCUCGGAUUGUAAACCUCUGUCGGGGGGGACAAAACCUAUGCUGGCUAAUAUCCAGCAUAAUUGAUGGUACCCCCAAAGGAAGCACCGGCUAACUCCGUGCCAGCAGCCGCGGUAAUACGGAGGGUGCAAGCGUUGUUCGGAAUUAUUGGGCGUAAAGCGCACGUAGGUGGCUUUAGAAGUCCGGUGUGAAAUCCCUCGGCUUAACCGAGGAAGUGCGCCGGAAACCAUAAAGCUAGAGUAUCGGA